rnacentral:lncRNA from 1 species
UUGAAUCUUAGCAUGAGCUCACCUUUUUGUUUACGAGAAAAUUACACAGAUCCUCUAAAGGUUACUCUUAUUACACUUCAUACGAGUGGCACAUGACGUUUAUUAAAAAAAAAUCCCAAAAAAUCCUCAUCUUCUUCGUUCAAACAGGCACCAUGAAAUUUUCUUUUUGCAGUGGAUGAAUAUUUUCCUAGCAGUUGUUGCCAUGGAUCUGCCACUUUCAUUAUAGAAGGGGUGCGACUUGCAUUUGGCGUUGGUUGCGGCGGACAAGGAGACAGUGAUCAUGAGGAGGAAGGAUUUAGUUUUCCUUGCUUGGUACUCAAAGAGAGCAAAGAUUCAUGCUAGGCUUGCCAUUGAUUUUAUUAUUGGACUUCAUCUUUUUUAUUCAACUUUGAGGGCACUAUCAAUAAUUAAAGACCCUUCAUAGUGCA